GUUUCCGUGGUGUAGUGGUUAUCACAUUCGCUUCACAAGCGAAAGAUCACCGGUUCGAAACCGAGCGGAAACA
rnacentral:tRNA from 1 species